AGUCCUGCCAACAGCUUUGAGUGAGCAUGGACGCAGAUCCUCUCCCAGUGGAGCAUUUGGAUGACCACGACUCUGGCUAACACCUUACUUACAGCCUUGGGAAAGAUUCUGAGUCAGAGGCAUCCAGCUAAAUUGACCCACAGACACGGUAAAACAGGGAUUUCUUCUUGGUUUGGAUCCACUGUUGAUUUUAGGUUACAAAAAGAUGGCAGAUUGCAUCUUGGGCACUCUCUUGUAUGCCUCUUUGGAGAAGCCAGUUUUCAUGUUGUGAGAGGCCUGGCAGACGGGCCCAAAUGAGUUCGCUGGGAAGUGGAUCACAGAAACCAUGAGGCCUAUAAAAGCCCCAGGCUCAGCCAGAGCAGAGCAGAUGAUGGAUGACCAGCUGCAGAGAAGAGCUACCCUUUCUGCUGACAGCAGGAGAUGUCCCAACAACCAGCAGAAGAGAGGAGCUACCCAUUCUAGGGCCUCUUCUCCGCUGAGAGCUUCAGAAACCUGCAGAGACAUUGAGACUACCAGCUGCAGAGUGGAACAAUCCACUCCAGGGCUGCCUCUCUGCUGAGAGCUAAGAAGACAAUGAGAUGACCUGCCUGCUAGGUGGAGCUUCCCUCUCCAGGGUCUCCUUUCUGCUAGAAGCUGAACAGUCAUUGGAACACCCUGGCUGUGGAAAGGAGCUACCCUCUGCAGGUCUCCUGUGUGCUGUUCUAUUGAUCAAUAAAGCUCCCCUUCAUCUUGCUCAUCCUCCACAUGGCUCUGUACCUCAUUCUUCCUAGUUGCAGGACAAGAACUCGGGACCUACUGAAUGGCAGAGCUAAAAGAGCUAUAACACAGGACUGAAACAUGCCCCCUGCUUGCCACAUUGAGGGCAAAGAGAAGAAGAGAAGAUCUGUGCCUUCUCAGGCAGCCCAGACCUGGGAGCUCCCUGAGCCAGGGCUGUGACUCCCUCUUUGGGGUCCUGUGGUGCCUAGUAUCUCCAAGCUUCCAGGUGCCACUGCAUUUCCCGGUGCCAGCUGGGGAAGCUGCCUGCAGUGCACCUGGUCUGGCCACAGCCUCAUAGAGAGUCAGUGCCCGUGCCAGCACCUGUAACUGCCCACCCCAAUGCAGCAGCCAGCAUGUCUGAUUGCACUUUGGCUGAACCCCAUGCUCCUUCACACACCCCUUGCCACUCCAUGCCUGACUUGCCCUUGGCAGGUAUGGGAUCCAGGCCAGUAGCAUGAGCCAAGUAAAGCCUGCCAAGCCAAGUAGGCAGAACAAACCCAGCGGGCCUAAGCAAGACUUGGGCAAAGACAUCACCAGCCAGAAAAACAAUAUCCCAAGAAUCUUGUGACACUAGGCAUAGUGAAGUUCUUUAUUAAUUUGCAGAUUUCUAUCCUGGUAAAUUCUAAUAUUUUCAACUAUUAAAAAAGAUAAUCCCCAAAAUAAUGCUUUAUUGUCAUGUAAAAUAUUAAAUAGAUUGUAUGUAACUUAGCUAUAUUAUUCUAGCAUAAAUUAACUUGUCUUUAAGAAACUAGUUCCUAAAAUGCACUUUGAACCAUAUUUAUAAUCUCACUAGUCCUCUACUUAAUUAGGAAGUGGAAUAAAAUAUUUGAUAUAUUUUCUUUUUAUAUUUACAAAAGUCACCAUUUAAAUUCUUUGAAUAUUAACAUGUUACACUUUUGGAGGAUCCACUGAGACACUAAAGUGGGUUCAUAAAGCCAACCAAACUGUGAUAGCACAGAAAUGUACUUCAGGAGCUGUUUAGGAGGAGGGACUUCUUUUCUUUCUCCUCAAAGUGAUUCUCAGAAAGCAACAGAGUCCUGGUGCAGUGGCUCAUGCCUACUAUCGAGCACUUUGGGAGGCCAAGGUGGGAGAAUUGUUUGAGCCCAGGAGUUCAAGAUCAACACAGGCAACAUAGCGAGACCUCAUCUCCACAAAAAAUAAAGAAAUUAGCCAGGUGUGCUGGCAUGUGCUGUGCUUUUUGUCCAGCUACUUGGGAGGCUGAAGUGGAGGGAUUGCUUGAAACUGGGAGGUCAAGACUGAAGUAAGCCAUGAUCCUGCCACUAUACUCCUACAUGGGGGAAAGAGCAAGACUCUGUCUCAAAAAAAAAAAAAAAAAAAAAAAAAAGGGCAAUAGAACUUUACCUUUGCUGUGAUGCUAGUCCACUACAAGUUGGCUUUUUUCUUUAAAUUUUGAAUUUUUCAUUUUCUUUUCUAGUUCUUCACCAUUUUGGUUCUGGAUAUAGUUUCCACUAGAAGAUGAUAAUGAUGAUAAUGAUAAUCCCCAUGCAUAGCAUUAAUAAUUGGGAAUGUAAUUUUAUAAUCUGAACUUUAGAGACCUCUGUUAAGAUUAAAGGGAUUUCUUGUCCUUUAUAUGUGACAUGACAAGGAAUGAGAGUUGCCAUUUUUUUAAUUCUUUGUUUCUCAAUUUGUGCAUCCAAAUAAUUUCAUAAAAUGUUUUAUAACUACUAGAAGGGAAAAUAAUCCUUUGAAAUCUUGAACAGUGAAAUUUUGGUGUUUCCCUGAUUACUUAACCUGUUGCAGAGAUUGUAUAAUUAAAGCUACAAUUUUCUCUGUGUUGCUAUAA
rnacentral:sRNA from 1 species